AAGUCCAUGCCGAGCUAAGGCGAAACCGCGAAUGGCUCAUUAAAUCAGUUAUGGUUCCCUAGAUCGUACCUUCCUACUUGGAUAACUGUGGCAAUUCUAGAGCUAAUACAUGCAGUAGAGCUCGAACCUUCGGGGACGAGCGCUUUUAUUAGACCAAAAUCAAUCGGACCUCGGUUCGUGUAACGUGAUGACUCUGUAUAACUUUCGGCUGAUCACACGGGCUCGUCCCGGCGACGUAUCUUUCAAGUGUCUGCCUUAUCAACUGUCGAUGGUAGGUUACGCGCCUACCAUGGUCGUAACGGGUAACGGGGAAUCAGGGUUCGAUUCCGGAGAGGGAGCCUGAGAAACGGCUACCACAUCCAAGGAAGGCAGCAGGCGCGCAAAUUACCCACUCCCGGCACGGGGAGGUAGUGACGAAAAAUAACAAUACGGGACUCUUUUGAGACCCCGUAAUUGGAAUGAGAACACUCUAAUCCUUUAACGAGGAACAAUUGGAGGGCAAGUCUGGUGCCAGCUGCCGCGGUAAUUCCAGCUCCAAUAGCGUAUAUUCAGUUGUUGCGGUUAACAAGCUCGUAGUUGGAUCUGAGUUCUGCUCGGACGGUCCACCUUCCGGUGGUCACUGUUUGGUGGCGAACAAUGCAGUCGGUUUCUCUUGAUGAUCUUCACCGGUUGUCUUGCGUGACCGACAAGAUUACUUUGAAAAAAUUAGAGUGCUCAAUGCAGGCGUGACGCCUGAAUAAUGGUGCAUGGAAUAAUGGAAUAGGACCUCGGUUCUAUUUUGUUGGUUUUCGGAACACGAGGUAAUGAUUAAGAGGGACGGACGGGGGCAUUCGUAUUGCGACGCUAGAGGUGAAAUUCUUGGACCGUCGCAAGACGAACUACUGCGAAAGCAUUUGCCAAGAAUGUAUCCAUUAAUCAAGAACGAAAGUUAGAGGUUCGAAGGCGAUCAGAUACCGCCCUAGUUCUAACCAUAAACAAUGCUAGCCAGCGAUCCGGCUGUGUUCCUCAAAUGACACGCCGGGCAGCUUCCGGGAAACCAAAGCUUUUGAGUUCCGGGGGAAGUAUGGUUGCAAAGUUCAAACUUAAAGGAAUUGACGGAAGGGCACCACCAGGACUGGAGUAUGCGGCUUAAUUUGACUCAACACGGGACAGCCCACCCGAACAAGACACAGGAAGGAUUGACAGAUUAAGAGCUCUUUCUUGAUUCUGUGGGUUGUGGUGCAUGGCCGUUCUUAGUUGGUGGAGCGAUUUGUCUGGUCAAUUCCGAUAACGAACGAGACUCUAGCCUACUAAAUAGACGUUCCGAUCCUUCGAGUCGGACGUUCUUCUUAGAGGGACAGGCGGUAUUUAACCGCACGAGACAGAGCAAUAACAGGUCUGUGAUGCCCUUAGAUGCUCGGGGCUGCACGCGCACUACAUU
rnacentral:rRNA from 1 species